rnacentral:rRNA from 1 species
UCGCCUGUUUAUCAAAAACAUCGCCUUUUGUAUGAAUAGAAGGUCUAGCCUGCCCACUGAAAAUUAAAGGGCCGCGGUAUUUUGACCGUGCAAAGGUAGCAUAAUCAUUAGUCUUCUAAUUAAAGGCUGGAAUGAAUGGUUGGACGAGGUGUUGACUGUCUCAUCGGAAUUGAGUUGGAAUUUAACUUUUUAGUUAAAAGGCUAAAAUAAUAUUGGAGGACGAGAAGACCCUAUAGAGCUUGAUAUUUAAAGUUUUUAAUUUCUUUAGUUGAGAUUAAAUUGAAAGCUAUCAAUAUUUCGUUGGGGUGACGGGGAGAUAAAUAAACUCUCUUUUUAAAUAAACCAUAGAUAUAUGCUUGAUUGAUCCAUUUUUAAUGAUUAAAAGACUAAGUUACCUUAGGGAUAACAGCGUAAUCUUUUUCGAGAGUUCAUAUCGACAAAAAGGGUUGCGACCUCGAUGUUGGAUUAAGGGUUAUUUUUGGGUGUAGAAGUUCAAAGUUUAGGUCUGUUCGACCUUUGAAUCCUUACAUGAUCUGAGUUCAAACCGGAGA